AUACGGAGGACGCGAGCGUUAUCCGGAUUCAUUGGGUUUAAAGGGUGCGCAGGCGGCCGUGCAAGUCAGCGGUGAAAGCCCGGGGCUCAACCCCGGAAGUGCCGUUGAUACUGCAUGGCUGGAAUGCGGUCGAGGCGGGCGGGACGUGGCGUGGUGCGGGGGAAGGCGUGGAUAAGCCACAGAACGCCGAUAGCGGAGGCAGCUCGCCAGGCCUGCAUUGACGCCCGGGCACGAAAGCGUGGGGAUCGAACAGGAUUAGAUACCCUGGUAGUCCACGCCGUAAACGAUGGGCGCUCGUCGUCGGCGGCAGACUGUCGGCGGCCAAGCGAAAGCGAUAAGCGCCCCACCUGGGGAGUACGGUCGCAAGGCUGAAACUCAAAUGAAUUGACGGGG
rnacentral:rRNA from 1 species